UACGGAGGGUGCAAGCGUUAUCCGGAUUCACUGGGUUUAAAGGGUGCGUAGGAGGACAGGUAAGUCAGUGGUGAAAUCUCCGAGCUUAACCCGGAAACUGCCAUUGAUACUAUUUGUCUUGAAUACUGUGGAGGUCAGCGGAAUAUGUCAUGUAGCGGUGAAAUGCUUAGAUAUGACAUAGAACACCAAUUGCGAAGGCAGCUGGCUACACAAAUAUUGACACUGAGGCACGAAAGCGUGGGGAUCAAACAGG
rnacentral:rRNA from 1 species